GACGAACGCUGGCGGCGUGCCUAACACAUGCAAGUCGAACGGGGUAAUCCUUCGGGGUUACUUAGUGGCGAACGGGUGAGUAACGCGUGAGAAACCUGCCUUUCAGUGGGGGACAACAGUUGGAAACGACUGCUAAUACCGCAUAACGCGUAGAGAUCGCAUGGUCUUUACGCCAAAGAUUUAUCGCUGAAAGAUGGCCUCGCGUCUGAUUAGCUAGUUGGUGAGGUAACGGCCCACCAAGGCGACGAUCAGUAGCCGGACUGAGAGGUCGAACGGCCACAUUGGGACUGAGAUACGGCCCAGACUCCUACGGGAGGCAGCAGUGGGGGAUAUUGCACAAUGGAGGAAACUCUGAUGCAGCAACG
rnacentral:rRNA from 1 species